rnacentral:rRNA from 1 species
UACGUAGGUGGCAAGCGUUGUCCGGAUUUAUUGGGUUUAAAGGGUGCGUAGGCGGUCCUAUAAGUCAGUGCUGAAAUAUCCCGGCUUAACCGGGAGGGUGGCAUUGAUACUGUUGGACUUGAGUAAAGUUGAGGUUGGCGGAAUUGACGGUGUAGCGGUGAAAUGCUUAGAUAUCGUCAAGAACACCUAUUGCGAAGGCAGCUAACUAAGCUUUAACUGACGCUGAGGCACGAAAGCGUGGGGAGCAAACAGG